CAGUACCGUGAGGGAAAGGUGAAAAGAACCCCGGGAGGGGAGUGAAAGAGAACCUGAAACCAUAUGCCUACAAGAAGUCAGAGCCCGUUAAAGGGUGAUGGCGUGCCUUUUGUAGAAUGAACCGGCGAGUUACUGUAUGGAGCGAGGUUAAGCAGGAUAUGCGGAGCCGAAGCGAAAGCGAGUCUUAAGAGGGCGCGAGUUGCAUGCAGUAGACCCGAAACCGGGUGAUCUAGCCAUGACCAGGUUGAAGUUGGGGUAAAACCCGAUGGAGGACCGAACCGACCCCCGUUGAAACGUUGGCGGAUGAGUUGUGGCUAGGGGUGAAAUUCCAAUCGAACCCGGAGAUAGCUGGUUCUCCCCGAAAUAGCUUUAGGGCUAGCGUCGAGAGAAGAGUUGCGUGAAGGUAGAGCACUGAAUAUGUGAUGGCCCCAUCUCGGGGUACUGAGCAUAAUCAAACUGCGAAUGUCACGCCAACAUGCUCGGCAGUCAGACAGCGGGUGAUAAGGUCCGUUGUCAAGAGGGAAACAGCCCAGACCAUCAGCUAAGGUCCCAAAAUGUAUGCUAAGUGGAAAAGGAUGUGGAGAUGUACAGACAACUAGGAGGUUGGCUCAGAAGCAGCCAUCCUUUAAAGAGUGCGUAACAGCUCACUAGUCGAAUGACUCUGCGCCGAUAAUUUACCGGGGCUAAGCAUACUACCGAAGCUAUGGAUCCCAAGGGAUGGUAGGGGAGCGUUCCAUGAACGGAGAAGUACGACCGAAAGGACGUGUGGAGAUCAUGGAAGAGAGAAUGCCGGUGUGAGUAGCGGAACGUGGGUGAGAAUCCCACGCACCGAAAACCCAAGGUUUCCAGAGGAAGGUUCGUCCGCUCUGGGUAAGUCGGGACCUAAGGCGAGGCCGAAAGGCGUAGUCGAUGGACAACAGGUAGAGAUUCCUGUACCCGUAUAUAUGUGAAGGAAUGACGGAGAGAGGAAGCUGCAGCCAGCGGCUGGAAGAGCUGGUGCAAGCGAGAUAUCGGGAUGGCAGGCAAAUCCACCAUCCGAAACGAGAAGGCGUGAAGCGUACGGAAAGCUACGGCGAGUACGGAAGGCAGUGGAGGAACUUCCAAGAAAAGUUUCUAACGUUAAGUAUAUAUGGCCCGUACCGAAAAUGGACACACAUGGGUGAGGAGAGAAUCCUAAGGUGAGCGAGAGAACUAUAGCUAAGGAACUCUGCAAAAUGACUCCGUAACUUAGGGAGAAGGAGUGCUCAUAGAGAUAUGAGCCGCAGUGAAACGGCCCAAGCGACUGUUUACCAAAAACACAGCUCUCUGCUAAGCCGCAAGGCGAAGUAUAGGGGGUGACGCCUGCCCGGUGCUGGAAGGUUAAGGGGAGGGGUUAACGCAAGUGAAGCCCUGAACUGAAGCCCCAGUAAACGGCGGCCGUAACUAUAACGGUCCUAAGGUAGCGAAAUUCCUUGUCAGGUAAGUUCUGACCCGCACGAAAGGCGUAACGAUUUGGGCGCUGUCUCAGCUGUAGACUCGGUGAAGUCUUAGUACCUGUGAAGAUGCAGGUUACCCGCGACUAGACGGAAAGACCCCAUGGAGCUUCACUGCAGGUUGAUAUUGGGAUUUGAUGCAGCAUGUACAGGAUAGGUAGGAGGCAAAGAGAUGGAUACGCCAGUAUUCAAGGAGCCGCUGUUGGGAUACUACCCCUGUUGUAUUGGAUUUCUAACCGGACGACGUAGAGCCGUUGACGGGACAGUGUCAGUCGGGCAGUUUGACUGGGGCGGUCGCCUCCCAAAGAGUAACGGAGGCGCCCAAAGAUACCCUCAGCUUGGAUGGAAACCAAGCGCAGAGUGCAAAGGCAAAAGGGUGUUUGACUGCGAGACCUACAAGUCGAGCAGGGACGAAAGUCGGGCUUAGUGAUCCGGCGGUGCUGAAUGGAAAGGCCGUCGCUCAACGGAUAAAAGCUACCCUGGGGAUAACAGGCUGAUCUCCCCCAA
rnacentral:rRNA from 1 species